GUUAGCAGAAGAAUCCUAUAUCAUUAUUAGACGAAUAACAUAGUAUUUUUUAUUUCGAUCUUCCCAUUGAUGUCUAGGACUGUAACUGGACGAAACGCGCGUCCUGAAU
rnacentral:hammerhead_ribozyme from 1 species